GGUGGACGGGUGAGUAACACGUAGGCAACCUGCCUCUCAGACUGGGAUAACAUAGGGAAACUUAUGCUAAUACCGGAUAGGUUUUUGGAUCGCAUGAUCCGAAAAGAAAAGGCGGCUUCGGCUGUCACUGGGAGAUGGGCCCGCGGCGCAUUAGCUAGUUGGUGGGGUAACGGCCUACCAAGGCGACGAUGCGUAGCCGACCUGAGAGGGUGACCGGCCACACUGGGACUGAGACACGGCCCAGACUCCUACGGGAGGCAGCAGUAGGGAAUUUUCCACAAUGGACGAAAGUCUGAUGGAGCAACGCCGCGUGGGCGAUGAAGGUCUUCGGAUUGUAAAGUUCUGUUGUUAGGGACGAAUAAGUACCGUUCGAAUAGGGCGGUACCUUGACGGUACCUGACGAGAAAGCCACGGCUAACUACGUGCCAGCAGCCGCGGUAAUACGUAGGUGGCAAGCGUUGUCCGGAUUUAUUGGGCGUAAAGCGCGCGCAGGCG
rnacentral:rRNA from 1 species